UGUCGGCCUGAUCGAAGCUGUACUUUAACGUUUUCAUAGUUGGUACAGUCAAAACGAGGCCAAAAAUAAUCUUCAUCUAAUGGUCGCUGAUUUGGCUAUACAAAUGUCUUACCAGCAUUACCCAAGUUGAAUACAAUU
rnacentral:snoRNA from 1 species